AAUUUUAAAGUAUGUUCUUGGCUUCAUUUUCUUUUGCCUAAAAUAAAAUAUUAUUUCUGUGAAUUCCCAAGCUAAGAGAUCUUGCUGUUUGAAGUUCUGCAUAUGUCCCAGUGUAAAUACAGAUAAAUAAUCUUUUUCCAAUUUAACAGAGGCAAUGCUAUAUAGUGAAUAGAAGACCAGACUGAAAUCAAGUCCUGCUUCUGAGACAUACAGGCUGUGUUAUCCUGGGUGCCUCCCUGCUACCUGUGUUCAAUGCCCUGAGCCUGGCAUAGUUGUUCCAGCAAGACACUCCCUCCAAACUAGCACCCUUGCCCUCUCAAAGAUUCCAGCAACUACUGGAGACUCAGCACAGUAGGGGGAGGGCAGAGUGAAGAUGUCAAAGUGCAAGCAGCAACAAGAAGGACUCUCCCAACAUUUCCUUCCCAGAGACAGAGCCAACAAGAGGCUGUAGUGAAAUAUUUCCCCAGUUCAUCCAAGAUAAGUAGGGCAGUCAGAAAUAGAAGUCUAUGACACUGAGGAGAGCUC
rnacentral:lncRNA from 1 species